CUAUCGCAUACAAUAUAUCGUGCAGCCCUAGCUCAAAACCAGUACAAAUCUGUAAUGGAAACCAUUAAAACUGUGUAAAUUAAAACCAAUACAAAUCUGCAAUGGAAACCAAUAUAAACCAGUAAAUUUUAAAUAGAAUUUGUCCCAAAACACACUACGUAAUAGAAACCAUUUGGUAAUGGUUUUAUUGGUUAAAAGUUGAUGGUUUGUAAUGGUAUUUGUAGUGGACACCAAUACAAAUUUCUGUGAUGGUUUCUAUUGUUUUUUUGGGGUUUUUUUAAUGGAACCAUCAGAACCAAUACAAAACUGCAAUGGAAACCAUUAUGUGUAAAUCAGGACCAGUACAAAUUUCUAAUGGAAACCUAUACAAACCAAUAAAUCCUAAUGGAAUAUGCCCAAAACACAGUACGUAAUGGAAACCAAUUUGGUAAUGGUUUUAAUAGUUAAUGGCUGAUGGUUUGUAAUUGUUUUGUAAGGGAAGCCAUUAGGAUUUCUGUAAUGGUUUCUAUUGUUUUUUUUCAGCAGGGGAAAGGAGGCAGACACAGGAUAAAAAAAAAUAUAAUUAAAGCUUCCAGAAGUGGCCUGAUCUCCACUUUCCUCGCUGCAGAGCUGGAAAAUAAGACCUGGCUCAGGCUGAGGACGAGUACCAGAUCAUAGGCGGGAUCUAGACCUCUGAAGUAGAACAGCUGAAGAGAGAAAAUCUGGAGCAGGACAUGCUGCCUAGACAAGGCCACAUUCGCAGGCAUUUUAAAUCAUCCACAAGCUGGGUGAAUGAGGAUUUGGCGUUUUGUAUGAAGGGACACAGAUUGACUUAAGGUUGAUGUGAAAUUUGUAAUGAAGACAUCAAACAUCAUGGUAUCAGAGUUUGCUGUGGAAGCUACAAACUACAAAAUAAACACUACCCCUCAGAAGGGAGUACAGUACACUGGCACAAGUGAGACAUGGGAGGAAAAAAGCCCAGAACGAUGCAAGACCGUCCCAUUUGAGAAUUUCUGUGGUUGUAAACAGAAAGACUUCAACAUCAGAGACUGAUCCGCAAGAGUCCGCAGCCACCUUCAAUAGUACCUACCUGAAAGACAACAAUGAGACCGUCACAUGCCCAUGCUUCAGCCAUUUUGCGUGUCCAUUGUAUGGAGCCACUGGGGACAAAGUUCACACCGUCACCAUCCACCUGCUGGUUGACAAAAAUUGCAGCUCUGUGUAUGUCAAGCCAAACAUUUGAGUAAGAACCCUCUACUUGGCCAUGGCCAGAUUGUAUGUCAGACGACUGUUUUGUAAAAGUUUUAAUAUUAUGCUUAUUUCUGUAAUCACUUGUGUGAGUUUGUUUGCAUGCGUGUUUCCACAGUGUUUUAUUUUUCCCCUUCCCCAUUGGUGUUUCCUUUCAUGGACUGGUGUCGUGUGUGGGUUGUUGUGUGUGGUGUUUUGUGUUUUUUUUUUUUUGUUACUAGAAAAGCUAGUUCAUGCAUUCAUGAUCUCUAGCCUGGACUAGUGUUGUCUCGGUACCAAUUUCGGUACCAAAGCAAAACACAAAAACAUGCUAAUUAAAAAACAUUAUUUUUAUUAAUAAAGUUAAACAAAAAUAAACUGUACAAAAAUUAAUGCCAUUCUUUAUGCUUAUUUAAAAUUGUUUCAAGUUUUUCCACAUAAUAAAAGUAUGAAAAAAGAUAAACAAGUUUCCCCCAAAAGUUUGUCAUAUUUCUGCUAACAAACAAUGGUACACUGUUGUCUGUUUUAGAGUUUGUUGGUGCUUCAUGAUCUUCCUCAGCCUGCAGCUGUAAAAGAAAAAUAUAAUAUACUUAAGUAAAGCAAUGGGCUGAGUCUGAUCAAAUGCAAUGUUAUAUUUUAGCUGUUGUCAAUAAUCUAAUAUUUCAGUAAAUAACAAACUUCAAUUUUCAUGACAAAUUUAGAUUAUAUAUAUUUUAAGACAAGUGUAUAUCAAAUAGAAGGAAACUGUAGUAUUAAAAACACUUUACAAUAAGAUUCCAUUUGUUAGAUUA